rnacentral:lncRNA from 10 species
UUUCUUCAUUUUUAUUCUGUACAUUUCCACACAAUUCACAAUACAGAAAAAGUGUCCAAAAAGUAACUGUAACUAGUCAAUUUCUUUUUCAGAGAUUAGUUCAGUCUCCCAAAUUAACUCCAUUGAAAAUCUCUGUAGUGCAACACAGUGAUCAAGAUACUUUAUAUAAAUAGGAAAUGCAAGAAAAUUAGGGAAAAAUACUUUAUGACUUUGUUACAAAAAACUUCAUUCUUCCCUUUCCCAUCCCACCCCCCCCCCCCCACCCACCCUCCCUCCACUUCGUAUUAUCUGAAUCCUCCUUUACCUGGAAAUAAAACUUUAAUCUUUCUACUGCCACAGCUGCUACUUGUUUAUGGAUUCCACCUGCCAGCUGGCAGCUUUGCAAAAGCAUGGCUCUGGGAUGUGAUAGGGCAGAAUCAGAAAUCAUGAAAAAGCCCUUUAUAAUGUGACUGCAACUCUUCAUACAGAUGUAGCCUUUGCGAGUGGAAUACCCACAGCCAAGGGUACCCUGGAUGCCUGGGAACGUUUUCCCACUCAGAAAUCAAAUUAAAUCAAAUAUAUUCAUUCUUUUAGAACUGAGAUUGUCCUCUAUUCCUUAGUUUUUCACAAGAAUGGUUUUCCUCAGUUUCAGUCAGUGGUGGUCUGUAUAAUAUUCAGAUUCAUGGUUGCCCACUUAACUAUUGGUAAUUUUAAAAAACAGCCAAGCUAACCUUUGCUGAGACUAUUUUGGCCCCUGACUUUUCAAAGAUGUGUUUUGCAAAAUAUUCUGUUGUGUUAGAAUAUUUUGUCUAUGAGAGUUCUAAAUCUCCUUCCCCAGGAUGGCAAGAAUCCAAACUUUCCCAACUUAUAAUCGGUAAGUCAGGGAGAGCAUCAAAGUUCUACUUGCAUUGGAAAUUAUGCUUGUAUGUAAUUAGAGUCUCAAUCCAACCAAUGAUGGGUGGGGAGAGUGGCGAAUAAAAAUUCUUUGAUCUCCAGAAGAUCAGGAGAUCAGGAGCCAUUUGGUUGCAUAUAGAAGGUACAACAAAUAUCAAGGCUAGAUGGUAUCUUAAAAGUGAUAAAUCUCACCAACACCUAUAAAUUUGAAAUUACCUAUAAAUUUGAAACAAAAAAUAGGGUAAACUGACAGGACUAUCCUAUCUGUAUGUGUGUGUUUUAUAAGUGAAGAGUAAAGACAAUUUGUAAACAUAUAUCUAUCAUUUUUAAGAGGAAAAUGUAUAUUUAAACCCAAAAUAACAAGGUCACAGUCUCUGAAUUUUUAAGUGAAUAUAUUGAGAUUUGUGGGAAAAAACCCUAAAUAUUCCUUAUUUUUUUCAAACUUUAUCAGGGACCAGAACAAGUUUGUGGACAGGCAUAAUGUAUUAUAAGAGGUUGGACAAACUCCUUCCAAAAACCACCUCGUCCUUUGGAAAGCUCCAUUAAAAAGUUCUUCUAUUAGCUGACCCUACUUCCCCCAAGUUCCACACACAAUCUAAUUCUUCUAUGCUGCAUAAACUGAAAUUUUCACAACUAAUACCCCUUGAAGCCACUUUGAACAAAUUUAAUCUUUCUGUAUGUUUCCUGAGUUUGAUUUUCAAUAUCUGCUAACACUAUCAGUUGUUUGAGAUUACCAUGAGAAUUUGUGUUACUACUAGGGUCUUCUUAUUGUACUACUUUUGAGAAUCUUUUUUCCUUUCCUCACAACUCUGCCCCUCUUUUAUGCCCCCAAACCAGAGGCAAGAAGUAGAACAAGAAAGAAGGUGGAGUAGAAGCAGGUCUUUUCUGCAAGACUCUGGAUAUGGAUUCAUUUCUUAAAAUUACCUCAAGUGACUUCCUCCCUCACCCAGUCAACCUGAAAUCUAGGAACUCAAGCUGUAUUACAGAAUUAAGGGAUGAUGGGCAAUUAAAACUGUAAUCCACCUAGACAGAAAUAUGACAGAAACAUUAGUCUACUGAUAUGGGGUUAAGUCUUGUUUCAUGACACAAAGUUAUAGAAAGUGCCUCCAUGCCUCUGUAUUGGCAGAGGAUAUAGAAUUUCCCACCCUCUUCUCCAGUCCUGACUCUACAUCCCAAACAACAAAUGGGUAGUAAGUAGGGGAAAGAACACUAAAUCCUUUGUUUUCACUUUGACUCCUGAAUCUGUGACCUUUUUGCUUUAGUAGAAACAUAUCUUUUUUAGGAGAUUUGGGAAUUGGCUAACAAUUGGCAAAAUUGCUAGCCAAUUUCCAAAUCUCCUAAAUUGGCUAACAAUUGGCAAAAAUGCUAGCCAAUUCCCAAAUCUCCUAAAAAAGAUAUGUUUCUACUAAAGCAUAGGUGUGUUUGUGUAAGCAAGGCAACUUUUUAGGGUCAUGAAAUCCCCGCUGCUAAGUGAUUUGGGAUAUAUUUGCAAUGAUGGAAGCUUUUUUAAAAAAUGCCUUCAUUGCUAUCUAGUUGGCAGGAACCUGGGGGAAAAAAAUAGGCUCAAAUUGAGUUCUGUUCCAGUCUAAAAUUAUAGACAUUUAAACCAAGAAAAUCUCACAGAGUUUUUCUAGUCCAAGAUCUCUCACAAUUAAAGAUAUGCCUUUGAUCUCUGAGUUAGUUGUUCAAUCUUCACUUAACUACUAGAAGAAACAGUGAUAACAACUUCACUGUUUUUCAGAAAGCCCAAACUGUUUUUCUGGAUGCAAUGUUUAGGAAAAAUAAAUCCUUAUAAGUAAUAAAGCUAACUCCUUUUCAUGUGUUACUGCUCUUUUCUUUCCUUAUUUUAUUCUACAAAUCAUCUUCCCUGCAGAAUUUGAAACUAACAGUCCUACUUAACCUAACUCCUCUACAUAUUCUUAUUCCUAAUCCAAUUUUGUCUUCUUUCCAGAUCAAACAUCCUCCUUCUACAUAUUCACCAAUCUGCCCAUAAAUGUCCCUUGUAAAGUAUGAGAUUCUGAACUGAAGGACAUUUCAAGCCUGUUUGUUUUUCUCUACUUCAAAUAUGCCGGAAUUUCCCAUAGGUGUAUUAAACCUCUAUGUAUAUGACUAUGUAUUAUCAUAACACUUAGCUUGCAUACCCACCCAUAAACUUAGAGCAAUAGAGUCUUGGAUGUCAGGGCCAUUUUUAACAUUUUUUGUUGCAGCAUUCAGAAAUUAUAUCAUCCUAAUAGUGACUUCAAAGGAAGAAAAAUAGGACUAACA